AACUGACUCUGAUCUGUCCCUGCCUGCGUUUCUUUCCCAAGUCAGAUCCUUUCAGAGCUCACAACACCAGCACAAAGGGCAAAGUUACAGGGACAAGGGAAACGGUCCGAUCAGAGGGAAGAAGGGGUUUUAACGCUCCCUCCCCACGCCAUGUACUACAGACUCCCCGCUCAGCUCCGUGUGCCAGGCAUGGGAGACCUUAUCUCCCAUGUAGGAAAUCUCCACUGUUUUGUUUUCUCUCAUUAGCAUCCCCAGUCGCAUAUUAUUUAUUUACUUCUUUUAGUUGUGGCUGUCCAAAUGCUUGACUUAGAUUCAAAUUCCUAAGCAUCCAGAGCUUCAGUUCAAAGCCGAAUGAAAAGUGUGUGUGUGAAAAUGAUCUGCACAUCCUCAACUAAACCUCACCCUGUAAAGUUUCAAAAUAAUAAAGGCAUGGGUUCAUAGAGGGGUGUAUUCUGAGUGCCAAGCGCCCAGUAAAAUUUGUCUUUUCUUCUUGCUCUGCCAGGGAAAUGGGAUGAACUAGAACUUCUUUCUGGAGCGAAGUGCAUGGAUGAAACGUACAUUUUGUGGAGAGGAUCCUUUUAGCUCUAUAGGAACACACAGAAACCAAAUGAAUUGAAUAUUCAGAUUGAUGGCCCUGAAAAACAGAAGUUACCUGUUUGCAGCACAGUUACUUGAAGGCAGGAGUGGGACAAGAUUGCUCCAACAAGGAAAUCUUAGUCUGAGAAUUGCCGGAACCUCUUCAAUCAACAUAAAAGUUCCAGCUACUUCAUCCUUACUGAAAUAAGAGGUUGCAACUCCUACGAUGAAAUCCUGGCCCUGUUGAAGUCAUUCCGUUAAUUUCAAUGGGUUCAGCACUUAAUCCCCAUCAUAGACUUGAAUCCUUCUGACUGAUGAAAAAAAUAAAACAAUUGGUAUGAGACAGCAGGAUUGAGAGACCUUGGGAUGAUUGCUGGGGUCUGGGCAGAGGACAGAUCCUCAGAGAUAAGAAAGUGAAAACAAAGUGGGAAAGGAUGUAUAUCAGGAGACAAGGGGAUGCAGAGACUUUUUAUUAACACUCCCAAGAACAAUGGUGGUUCUACAGAAGAAAUUUGGAAAAGUCUGCUGCAUCUCACUAUGUUGUUGGCAGGUUUACUUCAAGUAAGACAUGUUCUGACAGAAGAGUUCAAAAUUCAGUAGGCCUUACAUGAGAUGGUCUGAGUAUUGUCAGUGGAAGUUAACAAUACACACAUCUGCUGGUUGUAAACUGUGCAUAGAGGGAUUAACACUGGGAAGUUAUUUAUAGAAUUUUAUAUCUAAAUAUAUUUUAAAAAUAAACUCUCAGUGCAAUAUGUUGGUUCAUUUACUGAAAAGCAUUGACAUGCUCAUUAAAUUCUGUCAUGCAAAAUCCUUCAUACUUUGAAACAGGGCUGUCCAACUUCCAAGUGGCCAAGGGCCACAUGCUCUGUAGAUCACAUCACCGAGGGUCCCACACAGCAGCGGCAGCCGGGGGGCAGGCAGGGAGGGGAGGGCAUGUUAGGUCCUUGUGGGCCAAUUCUGCUUUAACAUAAUCAAGUUUGUUUUGUCUCUGGCUUCUGAAAACUGUUUGAGAAUGUUCUGCCCAAAGUGAGUGUUACAGGUCUUUUGUAUUCUAAUUAGCAAGAAAUCAGUGUAAAAACAGCUAAUGCACUUUUCUCAUUCAUAUAUUAAGGUUAAAAUGCAACGUCUCAAUUUUUCCCUCACUUUUUUCUCCCUUUUAAACAAAAAUCUGCUUAAAUUUUGAAACAGGUUUCUGAACAAGUCAAAAUAUCUUCCCUGGUGAAUUCCACAACCAUUAAGGUUGUUCUUUACUGAUGUUUCCCAUUCAUUUCAGCGGAAUGAAAUGGUAGUCUUUCUCUUACAUGAUGGGUAAAAACAGCAGUAAACUGAAACUGAAACAGAAGUACAAUCCACAAGGGAAGCUCUACUACAGGUUUAAUGUAUUCCCAUCAGAAAUCACAAAGUCUUUCAGGGUCUUAUAUGUUUAGCAUUAAAGUUCUAUAACAUUUAUAGGACUAAAGGUACCUGUAUAUAUUACAUUUUGUUGUUGCAUGUAGGCAUUUUAUAAGUAAAUGCAGAAAUCGCAAGUCACUAUUCUUUGUCUUUAUAAGCUCAGAGUUGGAAAGAUGAGUUACUGAACAGUGAUUUUGUCAUGUUCUUUAAAUAUUUUGACAGACUUUUGUGCUUUUAAUUACUAAUCUAUAAAUAUCUUAUAAAAAACUGCACAGCAAUUAUCUUUGCUGUUUUGAGGACAUGUAAAUAAUGAUAAGUCUGUGGCACAGUAGAAGUGGUGUUAUAUUUAUUUCUUCAUACACACUUCAUUACACAAACCAAUUAUUUAUUUCAAUACAUGUUUUGCUCAGAAUCCUCUUUCUAAUGAAUAAACUUUUAGUAUGUUAGCCAUAUUUUAAACUAGCACUUGUAAAUGUAUCAGCAACAUGUACACAUUGAAACCACUUCUUUCCCUUUCUUUGAAUUGCAAUUAGAAGUGGUUAUGUUUGUGAAUCUACUGGGAUUCCAAGUUUUUCCAAUUACCAAGGAGUUUCUCUUUAUUUGAAUUUCUUUCCUCUGACAGCUCUAGAGAAUAUUUAUAAAAUAGUCAACUUUGAACUAGAAUGCAAGAAAAUAGCUAACUACAUGAACACCAUGUGCUGGUUAUUUAGAAACAAUAUUAAAAGGAGAUUAAAAACUAUCACAAUAAAUAAAAAAAGAAGUAGCAACAGCAGAGCCAUAAGUAUGAAGAUGCUACUGCAGAGCCUGGGGGGAGGGAUAACCUUGCAAAGCUGUAAGUUAUCAGAGGGUGAUAAAAGGGGUGGAGUAGAGUACAGACUUUCAAAUUUACUGAAGUGAUCUUUAUACAUUUACUACAGUUUAUUUGUUGUCUAGCACUUAAAAUUUGUCAUUGAGUCUGCAAUGGAAAUACUUCUGUAAUUGCCCUUAUUAUAUGGAUCAUUGACCUUCAACAGUGAAACUGUUGAAGCAACUGUCCAUUUAUCUGGAAAAUUACCACAUGGCAAGAUCACAUUAGAGAGUUUUACAAGGCCUGCUCUAGCAAGUUCCUGUGUAUUAUUAGACACUGGACCAUACAAAUCUUUCUGCAUUUGACUGUUAUAUGCACCUUUAAUGAUUAAACAUGGAAGAAAAAUAGCAUUUGCCUAUCAAUUGUCCUGUUAAUUUUUAUUUAUUUAUUCAAUAUGUUUUCUUUUCACAUUAAUUAUAAGGGAUAACACAGUCUCAAUCAUCAUUGUUAAAUAUUAUUACAAGGAAAUAGGCAUACUUAAGUUAUGGUUCACUGGAACAAUUACAAAAAGAUUAUGUGAUAAUUUGUUUCUGUUCCACUUUAUUUUGGCUAAAAUAAUAUCUUGGAUUAUAAUAUGUCUAAUUAUAUUAUGGGUGUAUUUUAAAGACAUUUCAUUUUCUGGAAAAUAGCACAAAAUAUUGGAAUUGAAAAAAAUAAAUUUAGACUUAGUAUUGCAGGGGAAAUAAAGCCUUGAGAAAAAUAGUAAUCAUUGACCAAGUUUUACAUUUACCUCUAGUAUAUUCUUUCCAAAGCAAUCAAAUAGAUCAAAUAGAUGUAAACAAUAAUGGUGAGUGUCUCCUGUAUGUGUGGCUUUAAUAUAAAAAAUGUGAAUCUUCAUCUGCAGCCCUUUAAAGACAUGAAAUGUCUGCAGGUAAAUAUUGGCAGAACAGAGUGUGACGUUCUUUUUAGUUGUGUCAAGGUACCAUAGUCAGCAAUCUUUAUGGGGCAUCUUAAAAUAGAACAUGCUAAAAACAAUGAGCUCUCAUGUUGAUACAUUUAUGUAUGUUAUAGCCUUUACAUUUUAAUUACAAAAGCCAUAUAAAUAAAAUUUCACU